rnacentral:rRNA from 1 species
AAAGAUUCUGGUUGAUCCUGCCGGACCCUACUGCUAUCGGGUGGAGACUAAGCCAUGCGAGUUGUGCGCCUCCUAGCCACGUUGGAGACGCAGCGUACGGCUCCGUAACACGUAGUUAAUCUGCCCUUGGGACGGGAAUAACCCUGGGAAACUGGGGCUAAUUCUCGAUAAGCGCAGUGGCCUGGAAUGGUACUGCACUCAAAAGGCUCUAAGAACAUGCUCUUGGAUCUGCCCAAGGAUGAGACUGCUGCCGAUCAGGUUGUUGGUGGGGUAACGGCCUACCAAGCCUAUAACCGGUACGGGCCCUGAGAGGGGGAGCCCGGAGAUGGGAACUGAGACAAGGUCCCAGGUCCUACGGGGCGCAGCAGGCGCGAAAACUCCGCAAUGCGCGAAAGCGUGACGGGGUUAACCCGAGUGCCGUCCGAUGAGGAUGGCUUUUCUUCAGUUUAAGGAUCUGGAGGAAUAAAGGGGGGGCAAGACUGGUGUCAGCCGCCGCGGUAAUACCAGCCCCCUGAGUGGUAGGGACGAUUAUUUGGCCUAAAGCGUCCGUAGCCGGCUUAGGAAGUCUUUCGUCAAAUCCGACGAUUCCAUCGUUGGACCGCGGAAGAUACUUCUAGGCUUGAGGGCGGGAGAGGUCGACGGUAGUCCCAGGGUAGGGGUGAAAUCCUAUAAUCCUGGGAGGACCACCAGUGGCGAAGGCGGUCGACUAGAACGUGCCUGACGGUGAUGGACGUAAGCUGGGGGAGCGAACCGGAUUAGACACCCGGGUAGUCCCAGCUGUAAACGAUGCGAGCUAGGUGUUGGAGCAACUACGGGUUGCCCCAGUGCCGCAGAGAAGUUGUUAAGCUCGCCGCCUGGGAAGUACGGCCGCAAGGCUGAAACUUAAAGGAAUUGGCGGGGGAGCACCACAAGGGGUGAAGCCUGCG